AAGCAUCGUCCUCGCCAUGUCGAUAAGCGUCCUAUUCUUCCUCUGUACCACACCAUUUUGCUGUGGUGUGUAGGGAGCGAAGAACUCGUGCUUGAUGCCUUCUUCCUCAAGAUACUCCUCCACUUGCAUAUUCUUUGUAACACCCACUUUGUAAAAAAAGUCUAGAAAGAGAAAUUAUAUUACUCUAUAGAUAUGUGUGUUAUCUCUAUUCAUUAUUUCAUGUGGACAUCUCACUUACACAAAAAAUAUAAUAAUAAAUAACAAAGGACACCAAAAAUAAUACAUGCAUCAUGCUGGGAUUUUAUUUUUGUGUGCAUUUUUGUGACAAUAUUACAGUAAUUUAAAAAUAAAUAUGUUAAAUAUCCAAAUGGGAAAUUAAAUCCUAAAAGAAAUUAUAGAGUUUGGAAAAGAAGAAAGGAAAUACUAUGUGACUAAAAAUGGUAUAAAAAUAUAUAUAAUAGAAUAUAUUAUUUCUACAUUAAGAUUUGAAUUUGUAAAAUUUACUCAAAGUGGAACCUCAUAACAAGAAUCAAAUUCAAACUUGAGAU
rnacentral:lncRNA from 7 species